rnacentral:rRNA from 1 species
UAACCUGCCUGGUAGCGGGGGAUAACUAUUGGAAACGAUAGCUAAUACCGCAUAAGAGUAGAUGCUGCAUGACAUUUGCUUAAAAGGUGCAAUUGCAUCACUACCAGAUGGACCUGCGUUGUAUUAGCUAGUUGGUGGGGUAACGGCUCACCAAGGCGACGAUACAUAGCCGACCUGAGAGGGUGAUCGGCCACACUGGGACUGAGACACGGCCCAG